UACGAAGGGGGGCUAGCGUUGUUCGGAUUUACUGGGCGUAAAGCGCACGUAGGCGGUUUGUUAAGUCAGGGGUGAAAUCCCAGAGCUCAACUCUGGAACUGCCUCUGAUACUGGCAAGCUAGAGUCCGGAAGAGGUAAGUGGAACUCCUAGUGUAGAGGUGGAAUUCGUAGAUAUUAGGAAGAACACCAGUGGCGAAGGCGGCUUACUGGUCCGGAACUGACGCUGAGGUGCGAAAGCGUGGGGAGCGAACAGG
rnacentral:rRNA from 1 species